AACAGUUGUGGUGAGGGAUACCCCUGAAGCAAUUGAGAGAGCGGCUCGUGUUGCUGGUGCAGUGAGGUGGAAACCUACCAUAUAUGAUAAAGAACCCAAAUCACAUGGCAGAGAGAAAAUUCUAGUUGCAACUAAGACCUUCUGGAAGCUCUAAUUCUCAUCCCGCUAACUUCGCCACAUAAUAUUGGUGAAAUUCCCUUCUCUCUAUUCCGAGGAUAGGUGGGAGCUUCAUGCACUGAGUUGUCGGGUUACACAGCUAUCUUCUCUAUGCAUCAAAGGGAUGCGGUUUUCUUACCUGUUCAAUGUUUAUAACUAUAUAUACGGAGAUAGUAAGGUCAGGACCUAAGAAAACAAAACAUGGGGACUGAAUACUUGUUCAGAUUAGUAUGGAAGUUGUAAAGCACAAGACAGUGUUACAUUAUAUUCUCUUAGCUAUAAGGAUCACUUGUUAUUCAAUGUUUUUGUUUAUUAUUAUGGAUUUAACAUGUAUACACUGACAGUGCAAUUGUUUUUACAUUAUCGACAUAUUAUCAUCCAUAUAUAUGUUAAUCAUUGCUGACUCUCAAACAAAAAUAAUACAAAUCAAAAAUAUUAAUGACAGUGCAUAAAUAUUAUUUAUUAUUAUUUGUUACUUGUUUAUCUCUCAAUGUUUGAUAAAUAAAAAAGUACUAUUUAAAUAAAGUUAAGAUAUUUAAUUAGUAAUUAGUAACAAUACAAAGUCCAGAAGAUGAAGAAAAGUGGAAACAGCAAAGAAACUACAAUAUAAUAUUUGAUGUUCCAGGUCUACCAUUAUAUUUCAGUAUGCAAAUAAAAUUUGGUAUUGUUUUUUAUGCUAUUAUAAACAGUUGGAAGUGUUUGGUAAAAAAUUUGAAAGUAUCUUUUCAUAAAUUCUGGGCAUGUUCUAAGGAAACUCUACUUUAUAAGCAAAAAUCUACACUCGUUUAUAUAGCAUUCCGAGUAAAGGUAUCAAUCAAGAUACCUAAACAAGGGAUUGAAUGUAGUUGGUGGAAUCCAAAGUCUAAUAAAAAACACAUAAUCAAUACUACAAAAACAACUCUAAUGUGAUUCAAUAUUUUUUAAUAAAUAUACAUACAAUUUAUUCAUCAACAGAAUUUAUCUCAAAGUAUCUUUUAUUUAUCUUUUAAGGUGUAUUUUGGCAGGAUAUUUAAUGUGAUAUGUUAUUAAAAAUGUGAAGUUAGCUUCACACAAUAAAAUCAAAUAUAACUUUUUAGCUGUUCCAAUUUUUUAUGAGAUAGGGGAAUAACGGAAAUGCUAGGACACAUAUUUUGGUCAUCAUCAUAUUGACUCAUAAGUUUAUCUUGGAAACAUGAUCCUUAAAGUAAUUGGCUACUUGAAACUUGAAAGCAACAUAUAAAUUAGUGUUCAGAAUUUGUGAACACUGGACCAUAUAGAUAAAUUUUGAAAAGAAAAAAGUGGACUCAGCCCAGAAAUUAUUAUGACUGCUGCUGCUAAAAAACAAUAACUUUUUUCAUCUGCAGUACUAAAUGCUAUAGAGAAGUGCAGAUUCAAGUGGUUUCUGUAUCAUAGAAAAAGUGUUUUUGAUACCGUAUUAGUUAUCAAACUAGUACCGUAUGCUUAUGGUAUAACAUUAGUUCAACGUUUUAUUAAUUAAACUAGAUAUCAAUUAACUUAUAUAUAUUUUAUCAACAUAAUACAUGAAUAUAAAUAUCAUUAUUUGUAUCAUAUUCAAACAAUUAUCAAGUUCAAACUUUGAAUCAAUAAUGUCAUUUUAAAAAAUAUUAAAAAAAAUCAUAUACAAACCAGUUUUCAUUGGUACAUAUGAUAUGAUUUGAUAUGUAUUUGUUAGUUUAAUUGUAUGACUAAUAUAAUUAUCAUAUCAUACCAGUAUAAAAAUCACUUCAUUAAUUUUCUGGUUUAACCAACCUAUACAAUUUGGUUUCUGUAACAAUGGUAGAAAUACAAGUGUAAUGUAGUUGAGAAUUAAGAGCUAUGCAAAGUUAUCCAUAAUAGAACAACUUAGAUUAUAAUCUCAAAACACAAUUUGAAAUCUAAACCAUUCAUCCAACAACUCAAAUUUAUCAUAUUUGCCACAAAGUUACAAUUUUUUAAAAGUUCUUCAUUUUGCCCUUGUGAAAUUGCAUAGGAUGUGUACUAGUAUGUAGAGCUGGGAGGGUGUAAGCAACUCUUCUAUCACUAUCAGAAUGGAUGAAUCAUGAAUGAAUUAAGUGCUACAGUUAAACGUUCGAGACCUUAGUAGAAUGUACUAUUGUUUAACAUGCAAAUAUAUUUCAUGUCUGACAGGUUGCUAGUUUUGGAGGGUUUUUACUUGCUCAAAACAUUUUGACCAUGUCUUUUGCUCCAAGGGAUUCACACAAAUCACAGAUACAAUUUGCUCUGGAAAGAGGAAUACCAGCUUUUAGUGCAAUGCUUGGUACUCGUAGACUCCCAUUUCCUGCAUUUGGGUUUGACUUAGUUCAUUGUUCUCGCUGUUUGAUCCCUUUCACAGCCUACAGUAAGUUCUUCAUCCCAGCUCGCCUUUGCAUAUCUUGCAAUGUUCUAAAUACAUCACACUUCCCUAAUGUAGAAAAUCUUCCUUGCAGAUGCAACUUAUUUCAUUGAAGUGGAUAGAUUACUUCGCCCUGGUGGAUAUUUAGUCAUUUCUGGGCCCCCUGUUCAGUGGCCCAAACAAGACAAAGAAUGGUCUGAUCUCCAAGGUGUGGCAAGAGCUUUGUGUUAUGAACUCAUUGCUGUAGAUGGUAACACUGUGAUCUGGAAAAAAACAGUAGAGGAUACAUGUCUCCCAAAUAACAAUGAAUUUGGUCUUGAGUCAUGCGUUGAUUUAGAUGACCCAAGUUCUGCUUGGUAAUUUCCAGUAAACUGUUCUAGAUUGAGCUAUUCCCCUUUCUAGCUUUGCAUUUCCUGCUAUUAUGUUCAAUAUUAAUAGACAACUAUCUUUCCUUUAUUUUUGUUACACAUUUCUGUAUCAUAUAAACCCGAUAAAAGAGCACUUGGGGGAAUGCCAUCGUUGUUAUUUGCUAAAGGUCAUCGCAUUAUGGUUACCUGGGGAUUGAAAAACUUCAAUGGUUCAUUUUGUAGGUACUUCAAAUUGAAGAAAUGUGUCAGUAGGAGAUCUUCUAUCAAAGGAGAAUAUGGAAUUGGGACGAUUCCUGAGUGGCCAGGGAGGCUAACUGCUCCAUCUCCGAGGUCCACACACCUAAAAAAUGGUGCUGAUGUGUAUGAGGCUGACACUAAGCGGUGGAUAAGGAGGGUUGCACACUAUAAGAAUUCUCUAAAUGUAAAGUUGGGGACUCCAGCUAUACGCAAUGUCAUGGACAUGAAUGCUUUCUUUGGGGGUUUUGCAGCAGCACUAAUUUCUGGUCCCGUGUGGGUAAUGAACGUAGUUCCAGAUCACAAGCCAUCCACUCUUGAUGUGAUCUUUGACAGGGGCCUUAUUGGAGUCUAUCAUGAUUGGUGAGUUUUUUGCUCACAAAUUUUCGCAUUUUCUCUUAAAAGGAGUUUUGUACUGAAUCUUUAGAGUUUGGAUCUUUUCUCGUGUUCCUUAAUAUGUUGAAACUUGAAGACAAAUAUAGCGUGGGAAAAUUGUGUAUUUAACAAUAAAGAUUAUUCAUACCAUAACACCAAAGAAAGACUAUUUCAUUCAGCUAGUGGUUAAUAGUACAUAUAUCUUGUUAUUUACAUGUUACUUCUUGCCUCUGGACUUCAUUUAUGACUUUGUUGUUAUGCUGUGGUUUUUCUUUGUUCGUGCUGUUACUAGUUGCUACUCUCCACUGUAUCGGAACUUCGCUAUCAGAUAUAGUUCUUGCUCCAGUUUUUGUUUCUUGGAUUUGUUUUUCUGUUAAAAUUUUGCUCAGUGAAGCAACUAAUAAAUGAAUGACUCAGGACAGCAAAAAUAUAUUUUAAUACAAUCCAUGAUUGUAUGCUUUUGUGAUAUUAGGGAGUCAUAUGAUAAAGAGUCAGAAUCCUCUAGGUAUCUUUAUAAAAAUGAUAACUGAAGUACUCCACUUCUCUCACUUGUUUUAGACAAUUAUUUAGGAUCCUGAUUUUAGGCACAUACAAAAUGUUCAGUGCAUUUGAACAUGUAUCACAAUUCGUAAUGCAUAAUGUUUUGGAUCUAAGUCUCUUGGUCAUUGUUCUCAGGUGUGAACCUUUCUCAACAUAUCCCCGUACUUAUGAUUUGAUCCACGUGUCCAGCAUUGAAUCACUUCUAAAAGAUCAUGCUUCUGGCAAAAACAGGUAUUUUCCUUUAUAAAUGCUCUAAUUUGAUGUCUCAUACCCUAGGGCUUCAGCUGUUUUUCCUUAUUGGCCAGGGACAGUUAUGGAUCAUGAUGUGGAAAUUCAGUCAUUGUUUUCAAAUGUUUUUGAAACUCGAAAAAGUAGAGAAAGAGCGAGAAAAUUGUUUCUUGAACUAACAUGUAGCUAUUAAUUUAACAUGCUCAUUUGUUGUCGUUGUCGAUUGAUUUGUGUGUAAGCCUAGAGUAGAGUGUCUUUAUUGCUUGAUCUGCCUAGAACUAACAAUGUUUCUAUUAAAUUGAUGUCACAUCUCAGCUUAAAACAUCUGCCUCUAUGCAAUUGCAAAAUGAUUACACUCCUAUCAUAAUUUGCAUCAUUACAGUCAUAGAAAAUUGUUUCAUAUAAAUAACAGUCUCACCCUUUGUUGCAUGACUACAUUGCAGAUGUAACCUUGUUGAUUUGAUGGUGGAAAUGGAUCGAAUUUUGCGGCCAGAAGGAACAGUUGUGGUGAGGGAUACCCCUGAAGCAAUUGAGAGAGCGGCUCGUGUUGCUGGUGCAGUGAGGUGGAAACCUACCAUAUAUGAUAAAGAACCCAAAUCACAUGGCAGAGAGAAAAUUCUAGUUGCAACUAAGACCUUCUGGAAGCUCUAAUUCUCAUCCCGCUAACUUCGCCACAUAAUAUUGGUGAAAUUCCCUUCUCUCU
rnacentral:lncRNA from 1 species